rnacentral:lncRNA from 1 species
UAGAAUCUAUGAUAAGUUUGAAACUCUCGAAUUAGUGGAUUAAUAAAUUUUUUAAUCUAUUCGAACAAAAAAUCUAAAAACCCCUUUUUUAAUUAUGACUUUCAAUUUGGCUAAUAUUAUCAUAUCAUUAGUCCAUACAAACAACUUGAAUUAUUACAUUUAUCUACAUUUUAUCACUUGUAUUUGACCCGUGUGCGACUCCAGAUUAUCCUCUUCAUGCAUUGAUGUGUUGACCAUUAUCAUAAAUACAAAGUAUAUAUAUUACUUGAGUGUGGGGCACAUACUAUUAAUAAGAGUAUGAUUCGGACUACAGUCAUUAAUAUCAUAUUUAAAAUUUAAAGUGAUAUUUAUUUUCAAUUAAUUUUCUUUUGCAAAAGUGAUGCUUAUAGUGGAACAAAGGAUAAUAUUAAAAUUUUGGCUACCUUGGAUUUCAAAAAUCUGCUUCUAUUUUCCAAGCGAUGCUGAUAUGCUUUAUUACCAUAUCAAUAUUACAAAAUCUACAUGUUUAAACAUAGAACAAGAAAAUACAGAAGUUAAAAUAUGAGUUACUAAUCAUUAGGGGUAGGAAUAGGUCAGGUCAAGUCAGACUUUGAAAUGUCUGAGUUUGGCCUACAAUUAAUUCUUUAGGCCUAAGUCUAACCUAUGACCUAUCAUAGACUUUUUUUUUUUUCGGUCUGCUCUACCCUUUUUAAAAGUCUGACCUGACAAAAAAGCCAAUUUAAAAGUCUUAUUCACAUUAAAACAUUUAAAUAUUAUAUUUUACGUUUUUUUAAAUAUGCUAAACUAAGACUUUAUAUACAAAAAAAACUAAUCAAAUCUAAUAAAAUAAUACCUAAUCAAUACAACAACUUUUCAAGAAAAAAAAAUGAUUCUAUAAUUAGUCCAUAUACACAUAUCAAGCAACAUGAGGCUCUAUCCAUACCAAUUUACAUGAUGCUCUACCCAUACCAAUUUACAUGAUGCUCUCCACAUAUCAAUACUAAUGUACAUAUAUAUAUAUAUAUAUAUAUAUUAAACAAAAAAUUAUAUUAAACAAAAAAUGAUUUUUGUAACAAAGUGAUUUUAAAAUAUUCUAAAACAAACACCAUUUAAACCCUAAAAUAUGAUUUUUGAUUUCAAAGAAUAUAUUUUUUUUUUCGUGAAACCAACGCACCCAUUAUUACCUCUCAAACAAAUUCUCUCAAAAAAACUCGGACAUAUUCAGUAAUAAUAUAAUUAAUAUUAUUAUCAACUCUAAAACACUUCUAAAGGGACUGCACCUAUUUUAUGCAUUUUUUUUACUAUUUUUUACAAACUCACAUAUACUGGUUUGAUUUAUGAUUUAUUUUUAUUUAUAAAACCUAAAACUAGAACAACUUCAAUGGAGUUUCUAGAAAAGUUUUAAGAGAUUUUACAAAGGCUAACUUUAUUUAAGGAAUACAAAGAUAAAAUUAAAAAAAAAAAUUAAGAUUUUGAAGUAUUAAAUAUUGAAAUCUUUCAUAGUAUAAUAAUUAAAUAAUAAUAUGAAGAAUUGAACUUGAAAAGAACGGGAGAAGAAAAGGACAGGGAGAAUAAUGAAUUGUUACUGGAUAUGGAAUGACCAUUGAGUGAUAGCCUAAUUGAUAUAUUGAUAUAGGCUUCAAAAUAGGAAUAAUAUUAUUAAUACACAAUAAUAAAAAAAAAAUAUAGGAAUAAUAUAUAUAGGUCGGCCUGUCAGGUAUAAAAAACUUUUUUAUACGUUUGAAUUUGCCCUAUUUAAACAAAUAGGCUUUAAAAAUAGUUUGAACCUAACAUUUUUGUUAAACAGGCCAGACCAGACCAUAAGUAGGCUGACCGCAGACCUCUAACUGACGGUCUAACCUAUUUCCACCCCCUACUGACCAUUAAUAAUGUUUAUUUUUUCCUUUGCAAAAAUGCAAUAGACAGGCCAAAGAUUUAGUUUUAAGAAAAAAAACAUUAAUUAUUUUUUGAGAAUAUAAUAAAAAUUAUAGGUUUGAUCAUCACAUAUUACAACAUUACAAAAUGCAUUUGCAUAGCUUUUGAAACUAUAGUUCUGCAUGUUUAUAAAUAAUUUGAUUGAAACAUUGCUCCUAAAUUAGCUCUUCAAUGUAUAAAAAGACAAAUGAAGUGACUUCUUUGUAGACAAUCAUAUGAAAAGAAAAAGAAAAAGAAAAAGAAAUAUUAAGUAACUAGUGUGUUAUUAGUUCCCCGAUAUUUUUUUUAUUAUCUUUAAUUGUAAUAUAUAUUUUAACUUAUCUAAAUAAAUAAUAAAAAAAUCUAAAAAGAGUAUAUAAUAGUUAUAAGGCCGUAAAUUUUUAUAUAAGUCAAACCGCUUUAUACAAAGCCUAUUUAAUUUAUUAUAGACACAUGGUGUAGCAAAAUAGAACAUAAAUUUAUACUUAAAUAUGAUUUAUUGAAGUAUUUGUGAUUACAAAUGACCUAAAAGAUCAAUAAGUAGCAACACAAUUUUAUUUAUUUGUAAAUUUGGAGUAAAAGAGCAUAAUUUUUUAAUCAUGAUUUCAUUCAUGACACAUUGGUAACUUGUUCCUCUUAUUAAAUAGAUAUUAAUAUGUUUUGUUGCAUGGAUAAUUUAGAAAUGGAUUUGACAUUUGGGUGAUUUUAAUGUCUCUUAAAAAAAAAAAAACGUCUUUUACGUACUGGUGGAGGAGGAUGCCAUGGAAUAUGGGGAGGAUGAAUCUUUACAGGAGGGGGAGAGCGCCUGCGAAAGCGGUCGCGUAAAACUUGCCACAUCAUGUCGAGUUCUCCUUCUUUAUCGUAAUUAGGUGGUUCAGGAAUUGGUGUCUUGGAGAUUUGUGGGCUUACAUCAGCAAGUCCUUGUGAAACAAGGAUAAGAGCAGCAAGGAACAACAUUAGUAAGGUUAAGAAAUUCGAAACCAUUUUCAUAAGUUGUUUUAAUGUUUCUACAUUACAUAUAAAGAAUAAUCAUAUUUUAUACUAGUUUGGAGCUCAAAUGGGUUUGCAAUGUCUCAAUCUGAGUUAUAUGUGUUGUCCCUUAUUAUCAUUGGCUCUCCACACAUGUGAGUCUUUUCUAUUAAUUCAAACCAUAUUUUAGGACCAAAAAGAUACAUUAACUAUUAUUGAUAGAGUAAAAUUAAAAUUUACAUUAAUUUAAAAUUGAAUUUUAUUUGUAUAUAUGAUUAUUCGAAACCAUAUUUAGCCAUAUAGAAAUUUGUUGAUAUAUUUUAGAAGCUAACUUAAAAAAUUAAAAUAGCGUUAAAGUGUAAUUUAAUUGGAGACAUCGUUUAGUUAAUUAAAUGUUACAUUUUUUAUUUUUGUAUUCAACAAUAUUUAUAGUUGCGAAUAAAAGAUAUCUAUACAAAAAUACAUAAUCGUUCAAUUUAUUGAUUCAAUGCGACGUUAACAAUAAAAUAGAAUAAAGAUUUAUUGCAACAAAUAGGAUUAGCUAUAAGGCUAAACCAACAUUGCAAAGGUUGGGUGAAAAAUAUAAUACUGACAUUUCCGUUCUACCUUAGUCUUAUUUUUUAUUAAUCGCUUCAAAUCACCCAUGAAACUUCGAAAUGCAUACUUCCACCUAUAUUAAACUGGUUCCCUGGGCAUAACUUCAUAAGGUUAACUUUGGUCAAUGAGUUUAAAACAUUGUUUGACAAUAAAUUAAAUACAAUCCGAAGUAAGGGUUCCAUGAAAACAUGAUGAGUAUACUAUAUCAAAAUAUGAAUUUUAUAGCACAUCUUUAAUAGCGAUUGUUAAAUAAAAAUAUUGUUGUAUUAUGUUUUAAAAAUACACGGAGUCUUAGACAAUGUUUUUUUGAAAAACAAUGUCAUAUGUACUAAUAACAAAGCCUUUAACAACGUUUUUUAUAAAAGCACUGACAUAUGAUCAUAAUAUUUAAAGCGUUUUUGUUAUAAGUGUUGUCAUAGUGUAUUUUAACGCGCUUAUCAAAAAAGCAAUGUCAUAGGAUCUCAUAAAGUUUCUACUUUUUAAAGUCUCACUUUUAAUUUUAUGCAUGUAAUUGGUUUUAUUCAGCAAACCGUCUAUGUCGUCGCAUCUCUGUUGGGGAGUCCAUGGGAGAGCGACAUCCGAAAUAGGCUAAACAUCAAGGAUUCUUAAGUGACUUAGACACCACAUCUCAACCCAAAACCUUAAGGCAUUAGGUUCAUGGGUUAUUCUCCUUAUAUAUCCAAUAUAGCCUUCAUUCCUAGUCAAUGUGGGACUAAACAUCAAGGAUUCUUAAGAGAUUUAGACACCACAUCUCAAUCCAAAACCUUAAGGCAUUAGGUUCACGGGUCAUUCUCCUUAUAUAUCCAAUAUAGCCUUCAUUCCUAGUCAGUGUGGGACUAACCACUCAUAAUUGAAUUCCAACAAAUCUCCCCCUCAAUUAUGAGUUCCCACCACUGAACUUGAUCCAAGUCCUUUUUGCUCUUGAUCCACUUGAUCCAAGUGCUUUUUGCUCCCCCACCAAAGCCAAACCAGGCUCUGAUGUGUAGUAUACACUUAACUAUUGUCAUGAGAAAAAAGACAAGAUAAUUUUGUUUUUUCUACUAGUUUUGUAUGUCUGAUUGGUAAAUCAUUUAUGUGAUAAUGGGUGCCAAAAGCGUUGUCUAUCAAUGAUUUCAAGAAUUAUUAUGUUGACAUAAAGAAUAAUCAAAAAUGGGUUUGGAGAUUGGUAAAUCUUACUAAAAAAAUAGUUCAAUAUGUGAAAUAGUGAGAGGUAAAAGAAGUAAUAUACCAAUGUAGAACCUUAACCUAAUGUGCCACUUAUCGAAAUUAGAGGUUGUGUGAACUAUAACCUAAUAUUGGCCUUGAGACAACUGGGUAUCCCAUCAUAGGGGAUCAAGCACCAAUACUAAAAUCCAUUUUAUUCUUUAUGACAUGGGACCAGAAAAAAUUGAAGAUUUGUGAAGAAUACGUAAAUCUUGGGAUAUGAUAAUCAAAAAAAGGAAGGAGCUAAGGAGUAGAAGUUGUGGUGUGGAUGAUUGCUACAAAGGUGGGUCAAGAAUAGAGUCCAAGAGAUCAAACUACCUUUUCGUCGUACAUCAGAGGCAGUCGAUGAAACACUGAUGCAACCCACUAUUACUGUAACUACCAAGGUACGCCUAAAAGGGGGGGGGGGGUGAAUUAGGUGUUAGGGUAUUUUCUUGUUUUCAGUGAUAUGGUAGUUGAAUUUUCUGAGUUAAUAUAAUGACUAAUAAUAAGUAAGUGCAGUAAAUAAAUGAGCACAGUAGAAUUAUCCUAGUUCCCCUUAUAACCAAGGGUACAUCCAGUCCUCUUGCACACCACACGAGAUUAAUCCACUUAUUGCCAGAAAAUGUACAACUCCCACCAAAGGAUUUCUGCUACAAACUUCUAACAAUACUUCUAAGAUAGCACACCACUAUCUUAGAUUAAGCUACUUUUAAGAAAGUACUACUUUAUUUUACAAGUGAUACAAUAUGAUUUUGAAUAAGGAUAAAGGAGAGGUAUAACGAUUUCAAUCUAAUAAUACUUCAAGUACUUUGAGAAUCUUACAGAAUGAUAUGAAACUAAAAUGCAAGUACUUUGUAAAAAACAAAAUUUUGUUCAAAGUUAUUCAAGGUAUUGAUUCAAGGAUUGUGUUAUGUUUGAUAUGAAGUUAUAGCGUAUUUAUACUCCAUAAACAUCUCUUUAGAUUCGUGGUCAAUGAUCCAAGAGGUUUGAUAAACAAAUACAAUGAUAUGGAGCUAUUUCAGAUCUGAAAAAUUGUAUUGCAUCCAGUUGUAUUUGGAUACAGGAUGUGUGUAUUCGAAUACACCUCUUUAUAACUUUCAAAUUUAUUCAAAAUUUGCACCUUGUAUUUGAAUACACCUUUCAUGUAGUCGAUUACAUAUACGUGAAAUUUUCUACUGACUUACUUUGUAUUCGACUACAGAAGGUCGUAGUCGAAUACAGAUGCAAAGAUUUUAGCCACUAACUUGCUAUGUAUUCGACUACAGAUGGUUGUAGUCGAAAUCAAAUGUGAGGCUUUUUCUUCUGACUUACUUUGUAUUCGACUACAACAUGCUGUAUUUGAAUACCUUUUGUAUUUUGUCAAAAAUAUUUGUUUUAAUACUUUGUUAAUGUAAUUUUGACUUUUGAAAAUACUUUAUAUGCAUAUGUAAAUAUUAAUGGUUCUCAUGUAUUUGAGGUAUUUGGUUGUAUCGUUUACCUUUACAUGUAAACACCUAAUAUGUUUGGAUUUAAAGCUUAUUAAUGAAGAUAUUUGAAAUUCUUUUUGAGCUUUUUGCUUUGAUCAUAAUUGUUGAUCUUUGUUGUCAUAAAAAACAUGUAGUUUACAAUUACUAGUGAAGAGAUUGAACGGUUGCAAACAUCAACUCUAGAUGGGGAUAAAGAAAAGAAGAAUUUUCUAGAAGAAUUGAUCAUCGAGCAUAUGAGACUGCCCAAAUGGAAAAUGAGCAGAAGACAAUUUCCCUUAAAAGAUCAAAUACGAGGGCAAAUGUGGAGGAAGAUUUUUGGCUCAAGUGUCAACACAAUUUAAGGGCCUUUUACGAGUCCUUAUGUUUGAGAUAAGAAGAAAGAGACCAAGCACGAGAGAAUGUUGAGAAAUUGAAAAAUUAGUUUAAAGAUUCAUAAAUCAGUGAGAAAAAUGCAAAAAGACAAUUGAAAUAUUCGAAACAACAAAUUGAAGAAAGCGGUAGUAGAAUAUAAGAUAAGGAUAGAAGGAGAAAAUAAUGAAAGACAAGAAAUGGUUUUCAUGUACCAAGAUACAUGGAUGAAGGAACAAGAAGAGGUAAAUAUGUUCAGUAUCCAAAUGAUGGAUCAAGUGAAAGCAAUCAAGAUAAUUUGGCAAUAAGGGUUAAUGUGGAUGGAUCGUUGCGAAAAACUCUCUUUCAUUGCCAACCAAGCCAUCGAAGAGGUCCUUGUACUCCUAAGAAAAGUAGAAGCGCGAAUAGUUCCAUCCGCCACACUUGUUGCAAUUAUUACUUUCAUUCAACAUUGUAAUAAUUUGAUAGAAGCAAUGAAUGGUUUAAUUCACAUAGAUCAAUAAAAACAAUGUAUUUUGAGUAUAAAACUAUGGCACUUGUACCCAUUUAAUUAUCAAUGAACGAGUUUAUUUUGCGUUUUCUCUACAUAUGCGUUUGGUUUUGAUGCAUGAUCUCGACAAGAUGCUAGUGUCUAGGUUGUGAAAUAAAUGAUUCUGUAAUAUUCACAUGCAUCUAAUUGAAGGAAAAUAUUGAUUGAAUCGUAUAGGCUAUACAAGCUUUGGCAAUGAAGGAGAGUAAAGAUAUGAAUCCUCUAGUUCUGGUUUCGUUUUUGUCUCUUGUUUUGGUGGUAUCCUCUAGUCGUAUCCUCAUCUAAUAUUUGGUUCCAUUUUUGCCUCUAGUGGUAUCAUUUGUUUCGGUUUCUACCACUUGUUUUGGUUCUCUCUCUGGUGUUGGUGGUAUCCUCUAGUUGUAUGAUUUUCUAGUAUCAUCUGGUUCCAUUUUGUUUCUGCCUUUGGUGAUAUUCUCUGGUGGCAUCCUUUGCUCGUAUCUUCUUUUGGUAUCUUCUAGUGAUAUCCUUUGGUGGUAUCCUAUAGUCGUAUGAUCUUCUGGUAUCUUCUUGUCGUAUCCUCUAGUGGUAUCCUUUGAUUCUGGGUAUGUUUUUGCCUUUGUGGUACUGUCUGACGGUAUACUCUAGUCGUAUCCCCUUUUAAUACCCUCUAAUUGUAUCCUCUGGUGGCAUUCUUUAAUAAUAUCUUCUAGUCGUGUCCUCUAGUGGUAUUCUAUGGUUCUAGUUUUGAUUCUAUUUCUGUCUCUGGUGGCAUCAUCUGGUCGUAUCCUCUUAUGGUAUCCAUUGGCGGUAUCCUCUAAUUCUAGUUCUUGUUCCCUCUAAGUUCUUGUUGUUUAUUUUUUAUCUUAUGUUAAAUAAACUAACUAUUUUAGGGACUUUAUUAUGAUUUAAAUAUAUCCACAAAUAAAUUAAAAUGCAUCAUAUUAGUAUAUAAAUAAUAGGAAGUGUCAUUAUACAAAUAAUAACCAAGAAAAAAAUAUUAGCCUCUAGGGUUAACUCUAACAAUCUCCCACAAGCACUAGAGCUAACUAGAAAUACUCCUAAUACCCAUAAUUCUAGUAUGACCAUCAUGCUUCUGUUGAGCAAGUGGUUUUGUAAGUGGAUUAACAUUGUUUUUCCAAGAUAGCAACUCUGCAAAUCCUCACAUAUACUCUAUCGAUGCUCUCUCUAAUAAGAUGGAAGCGUCGAUGUGACACCCUAAAUCCCAAAAUAAUAUAUAUAAUAAUUUAUAUCAUAUUCCUAUAAAAUUUGCAGCAGAUAAUUAAAAAUAUAUUUACAAGAAAAUACAACUUUAUAUUUAAUUUAGGAUAUCACGUUUCUCAAAAAUAAAAAUAAAACCCUUUAAACUUAUUUUAUUCAUUAAAAUAGUGCAAUCUCGAUAAGCAUUAUUUAAGUAUAAUUACUUGAUUUAAUUCUAAAAACCUACUAGUACUUCUAAGGUUUUCAUACAAAAAUUCAUUUCUAAUUAAAUAAGUAAAAUCCAAAUUAAAACCCUUAUUCCCGGUAUCACCUAUCAGAGCGGGGUUCCUCGCAAACUUAAACUUCAAGACUCAUUAACCUGUUAUAACUGCGAUUUUGCAAACACAGCGCCUUGCCAGUCAAACACAAACAACGAAUGAGGUGAGUUUCAAAAUCAUGAUGACAGUACAAUACAAGUAAGAAGAACACACAAACAAUCAUAAUAGGACCGUAUCAUUACACAAAUAUUCCAUCAAGGAAAAUCAAUAGAUUUCACUGUAACAUCAAAUUGUCUAAGAGAAAUUAUCACCACGCACGAUACAUAUUAAUAAUAACAAAACAAUUACAAUAAAAUGCAAUGUUAUGCAUGAGCUUAGACACUACUUCACAAUGUGGUACCAUUCUAACUCUGAAGUACUUGGUUAGGAGGCUUGAUACUAUGCCACCAUCCCGGUGAGCGGACAAUUCAAAUUGGCCUUGUCCUCAUAGAUCCCUUCAACUAAACCCGAGACACAUAUACGUGACAGUCGAGGUAAAUGUGUGUUGCGUGGUAGCUCCCGACAUUUGGAGUGCUACCUCCAAGUCACCUAGGAAUUCCCCACCCGAAUACCUCCAAGGUCUAACGAUCUUGCCUUAAGGCUCGACACCAGACCGCCACAAUCAGACUCAUUCAGUUAUACUUUCCCAGAAUCACUAGGCUUGUUAGGCCCUACCUAUAUGAUGACAAAAUAAUCUUCACUUCACAAUUUCUCAAUAUUUAUUUUCUCCCCUCGUUGAGCUAUGAUACUCCAUUAAGAACCAUCAUCUCAAACACAAAUUGAAAUCACAAUUAUUUCACCAACUAUGGGGUUACUUUAAUAUUCUCAUCACAAAUUCACAAUAUCACUAUCGUUAAUCAUAUCUUAUCACAUAAACUCAACACAUAGGCUUGUCACAAAUUUAUAACAUCGUUAUUAUUAAUUAUACAUCAUCAUAAUCACAUAAAUGUAUCAAAAUAAAUUCCUUUUUAUCAUCACAUCACAUACACACGUCUAAUCAAACUUAUACAUAAAAUUCAUUCAACAUCUAAUAUCACAAUAAUAUCAAAUAUCACACAUUUAGUGAAAAUAAAUCAAACAUCACAAUAAUAUUCAAUACCACACAUUUAGCGAAGUUAAAUCUAUCAAAACCUUAUAAAUAUUUCUAUUCCAUACUUUAAUCUCAUAAUUCACAUAUUUUAACAUUAAUUAAUUUAUCACUUAAAUGGCUACUGUCGUACGUAACGAGCCCCAAAUGAAUCGUUUGGAAAUACGGUUUUCUCGUUCAUCUCAAAUUAUAUUAUACUCAUGAAUUCAAACGCUCUCUCAUCCCUUACCUUAUUUUGAAGCUUUCACACACGAAUACUAUUCCAUGAGCAAACAACCUUUGUUCAUUGACUCUUUGUCCUUCAAUUGAUCUAACUCAACAAUUUAUGGGUAAACGUUAAAAAUAAAUUAUGAGAAGUUACUCUAAAAACUAAUUUCAUAAUUUGGUCAAGGAAAAUUACCAUAAAUCAGAAACUCAAUCAAUGGAUAAUAUAGCCACUUUUUACACGGUCGUUUUGGCGUUGGUUUCACUCAAAUCGGACUUACAGUGAAGGAGAAUGGUGCAAAAUAAUGAAUUCUACAAACGAAGAAGUCGGAUAUUUUAGAGAGAAAUUGGGGUUGUUAAAAAUCUGGAAAAUUAUAUUUAAUUGACGAGUUAAAUGAAUGAAAUAACAAACUCAAAUUUGGAUGAAAAUGGAGAGAGUUUUCUGUAACAGUUAUCGAUCACCGGUGUGAAACGAUAGGAUUAUUGUUGUGUUUCCUCUUUAGUUUUACGGCUGUCCUUCCAACUCCAUUCUCUUUUUUGUUUAUUUUAUUUUAUUAACAAUUAGGGUUCAUACAUGAAUCAGACCCAUUGGUCUCCUUUUAGGUUUUACUAGUUUUAUUUUAUCUUAUUUUUUUAAAACACAAUUUCGUUAAUAAAGUAUUAUUAAUAUUUCCAAAAGAAUAAUUUAUAAAUAAAAAUAAUUAAUCUUUUAAAAUACAUUAAUAAUAAAAAAUCUCAUAUUUAAAAUAAUCCCUAUAAUAAUAUUUAUUUUUUUCAAAUACCCAAAUUAAAAUAUUACCAUCAUUAGAGAAUAGUCGAAAUUGUAAAAUAAAUAAAUAUAACAACAACACUUUAUAUUAAUUGCUAAAUCUUAAUAAAUAUAUAUAAAAUCACAAUGUCAUAACCAGUAUAUAAAAAUAAAGUAAAUCAAACACAGUAUCACUACUAUCUCAAGAUAAUUAUUUAUUAAAAAAAUAACUAAAAAUAGAAAAUAGUUAUAAAUAAUUGAUGCUGUUUCCAAGCAAAACUUCCUGUAGUACCCUGCCAGUCCUACAAAACUCCGUAUGUCAGUGACAGUCUGAGGUUGUUUCCAAGCAAGAACCGCCUCAAUCUUAGCCGGAUCUACAACGAUUCCUUCCUUGGUUAUCACAUGUCCCAAGAAAUUCACUUUCUCUAGCCAAAAUUCACGCUUCGACAUAUUGGCAUACAGUCGCUUCUCGCGUAAGAUCUCAAGAACUUGGCGUAAAUGUUUUCCAUGCUCUUCUUCAGUUCUUGAAUAAAUCAGUAUAUCAUCAAUAAACACCACAAAAAAUUUAUCCAGGAAUGAAUUAAAGAUUCUGUUCAUGUAGUCCAUGAAAAUUGCUGGUGCGUUGGUAACCCCAAACGGCAUAACCAAAUAUUCAUAAUGUCCAUAGCGGAUUCUGAAAGCCGUUUUCUGAAUGUCUCCUUCCCUUACUCGAAUCUGAUGGUAACCCGACUUCAAGUCAAUCUUCGAAAAUAUCGCGGCCCCUCUCAAUUGAUCCAUCAAAUCAUCGAUUCGUGGCAAAGGAUAACGAUUCCUAAUAGUUGCCUUAUUAAGCUGUCUAUAAUCCACACAUAGGCGCGAGCUUCCGUCCUUCUUCUUAACUAGCAAAACUGGAGCUCCCCAUGGUGAUACACUUGGUCUGAUGAAUUUCUUCUCCAACAAGUCUUCAAUUUGGCCUUUGAGCUCAUUUAAUUCCAAUGGCGACAUUCGAUAAGGUGCCAUUGAAAUAGGUCCCGUUCCUGGGUGCAAAUCAAUGAAGAAUUCCACUUCUCUUACCGGUGGCAAUCCUGGAAUUUCCGUUGGAAAUACAUCCCGAUACUCGUUGACAAGUAUCACAUCUUCUAUAUCCACAUUUAUCUUUGCCUCCACAUUUGCCAGAGACAAAAACUCAUGAGUCCCUUCACUUAGCGACACUCGGAGUUUGUUAGCAGCUAAAUACUUAACAACUCCUGGUUCGGGGAAAAGAACCAAUUUACGAGCACAAUCCAAGAUCACAUAAUGAUAAGACAUCCAAUCCAUACCGAGGAUGACCUCGAGUGAUUCUAGCGGUAAACAAAUUAGAUUAACCAAGAAAUCCCUAUUCUGUAUAGUCAUUCGACAAUGUAAACAUGCAGAAUUUACGGUUAAGGUCUUAGCAGGUGUGGAAACAACCAAAUCAAAAGGUAAAGCAGACACAGAUAACUUCAAGCGAUUCACACAGUCCAUAGCAAUGAAGGAAUGGGUUGCCCCCGAAUCAAAGAGUGCAGUUAGAGUGUUACCUGCAAUCUCACAGUCACGCUGAAUCAGAUUACCAGAUGGAUUCCCCUCUUCAGCAUUCACACAAUAAAUGCGUCCUCUAGCAGUAGGACGGGUAGCCCUAGCUACAUUCACCACUGGUUCCACCUUUGGAGCCGUGCAAUCCCUUGCCAUGUGCCCCGACUUCCGACAAUUGUGACAGAUGGGGAUGUUAGUGGUACAAGCACUAGCAUAGUGUCCUUCUCCCCCACAUCGGAAACAUCGAAGCACUUGCCCCAAUUGCCUCCCGAAAUUCUGGUUCCCCGGGCGACUCUGCCCACCGUUGUUAUUCUGGGGUCGAUUAUAAGGUUUAGCAACUUGCUUCCCCUUGUUCUGAUAAUUCGCCCGACUAGGGCCUCCCGAAUUAAAAUUCCCUACUCGGCUAGCCCUCUUGUUUUUCAUAUCUUCCACUUCUCUACAUUUCUCCACCAGCGCUUGGAAACGUUGAAUUCCCAAGGGUAAAACGGAAUCUUGAAUCUCAUACUUCAAUCCGUCUUGGAAACGAUGACACAUGAACGGUUCAUCAAUUUCUUCACGGAAGAACCUGAAAUGCCUCGAUAGUGAUUCAAAUUUAGCAGCAUACUCGCCCACAGUCAGGCUCCCCUGGUGAAGUUUCAGAAAGUCGUCACCCAACUUAGUCCUGGUACUCAUCGGAAAGUAUUUGUCUAAAAACUUUCUUUUGAACGAUUCCCAGUUCACCUCCUCGUGGGCUGCUCCCAUCAAUAACCUUGCACUCCUCCACCAGUACUCAGCAUCCCCCAACAGCAUAUAAGUGGCAUAGCUGACCUUCACUCCCGCCUGACACUUUAUCAUAUCAAAGAUCUUCUCCACUUCUUGGAUCCAUUGAUCCGCCUUCUCUGAACCCUCAUCCCCCUUGAACUUAGGAGGAUUGUAACGACGGAAGUCUUCUAACCCUCUUGACUCUGCAGCACGGAUCUCUCUUCCCCUCUUUUCAAGAUCCCGUUGAGUCUUGGCAGCAGUCUGUGCAGCAACAGAAGCAGCCAUGUUAUUCAUAGCCUCCGCCAUUUGAUCAUUCCUAUUAGCGUUGGCUCUCGGAGCGUCAUUCCUUCUUGGCGGCAUGGUUUCCUAUAAAACCAUCAUCAAGUAGAGUCUUAACACUACUUCAAAUAAUUCCAAACUAACGUCCGACUAACAACACACAAUUAUAUUGGACUUGACAACUCAAGUCACCUAAACCGACACAUGAUCAGACAACAACUCUUAACUUAUAGGUCGACCUACAAUCUAUAACCAAGGUUCCACAGCUCCCAAAGAAAACCAAACCAAAGCUCUGAUACCACAGUGUAACACCCCGUUUUUCAAAGCGAGGGUAUAUUUUUUUUUUCAAAAGAAAUUAAAAUAAAACAAAGUAAAACAAAUGAGGAAAUGUCUUUGGAUAAAUAAUUGAGUCAUUACAAUUUACGACGAUUUUUCAAAACAACAUUAAGUAACCCAAACAUUAAGAGAUUCCCCAUUCUUAAUAUCCAGUUAACUUAAACGAUUUUCACAAACACACAUUAAGUAAACCGAGAUAUUAAAAGAUUCCCCAUUUUUAAUACUCGUUUAACUCUAAUGGUUUUCAAAUUUCACAACAAAACCAACUCAAAACAUUUUAUCAAAUUCAAUUCACAAUCCACACCAAAACACAUCAAAUUUCAUCGGUAUUAACUUAGAACACGUCAAAUACGACGAACACAAAUCAACACAACAUAGCACUCAAACACAUCAAAUUUCAUUUACCCAUAAUCAUACACAACUGAGUUAAGUUCAUUUUCCACGAAACAUCCAUCAAAUAUAACCAAAACCUAACUCUAAGAUUUUACCCAUAAAGUCUUAGAUCCAUUUUCCCCCAAAUCAAUACUCAAACCCUAACAAGAUCCUUUCCACACAAUCACAGAUAAGUCCCUAAAUGCAAACUAAAAGUUUGGAAGGAGCCCUUACCUUAACGUUAGCUUUAACGUGCGUUUCCGGUACCGCGAGUAAAUCCUGUAAAAAUCUCCGCUCGCAACGUCGCCUCCAAGUUGGUCCCCUAGCACCGUAGCAUGGUAGUGAGCAACUUUCCCUUCUAACUCUUCGCGAAACGAAGUUUAGAUCUAGAUGAAACGGAGGGGUUUGUGUUUUAAUCUCUAAUACCGUUUUUCUUCGUUUUCGAAUCAAAGAGGAAGAGUGAAGUUAACAAAUCCUUAUCCUAACAUCACCAAGCUUUGGGUUUCUAAACUUAAAGAAAGAAAGCAAAAAAAGGACGAAAAUGGAGGAGAAGAAGGAAAUUGGUGCGCGUGAGUGACAGAGGAAGAAGAUGGAAAAAUCAGAUUUUCCUUCCUUUCUUUUUCUUUCCUUUGUUUUUCCUUUCUUCCUUUUUCCUUCCUUCCUUUAUAUACUCUUUUCUUUUCCUUUUCCUUCCUUCUAGUUUUCCUUUCUUUUUCCCUCCAAACAAACACAUAAAUAUAGAAUAAACAUAACUUAACAAAUAUCUCAAAAUAUCUAGAUAUUUGUUAAAUUACCAUUUCACCCGAAACGCAUUAAAUUCUCCGUAAAGGAUUCACCGCAGUUAAUUUAAUUUAUUCAUCGACGAGUAAUUCCAAACGGCAUCAAAAUAACUUUUUGAUCAUAUAAACUUCAAAAUAUUAUUAACUUUGGCUAAAAAGCCUCCGAGCUCAAAAUCCAAAAUACAUAAAAAUACAUAAAGUGUACUUUAAAAUUAUGGGUCUUACAUUGCGCAAUUGCAUCGUUAUUAUCACAGUAAAGUCAAUCGGAUCCACAAAUGCCAAGAACUAUAUAUAGGUCAACAAUAGCUUUUUUACCAAACAACCUCCUUUGUUGCAUUAGAGGCAACAAUGUACUUGACCUUUGUAGUUGAAUCAACGUUUGUCUCCUACUUUGAACUCUUCGAACUCACAGCGCCACUAUUCAGACGAAACACAUAGCCAAACUGCGAUCUUGAGUCAUCUUUAUCAGUUUGGAAGUUAGCAUCAGUGUAACCCUUUAGGAUGAGUUCUUUCUCAUCACCAUACACUAAUCAAUGAAACCUUAGUCCUUCUCAAAUACUUUAGGAUGUUCUUAGCUGUGGUCCAGUGACCUUCACCGAUUUUCUCACGAGAAUCUAUAAGAGUUACAUGCAUAAAGUAUUGUUAGAUGAUUGAAUGAUUAAAUUUAAUAAGAUUUGAUUUAAUUAGAUGUUACUCACUAAAUAUGAUUUAUUAUUUAAUAUAUUUUUAAUUUAUGUAAUUGAAUAUGAUUUGGUUAAAUAAAUGAGGAUUGACAAUUAAUUCAAUUUAAUUAGACAUAGUUUAAUUUAAAAAUAAUUUAUAUUUAAUUAAAAUAGUUUAAUUUAAUAUCAUUUUUAGAACUUAUUUUGGCUUGAGCCCAAAAUAGGAGUUUUAAGGUUUUAGUGGCUCAUUCUCUAUAAAUAGAGGAAUGGUACACUCUCCAAGUAAUCAUGAUUGCCACUACCCUCAUAGAUUGACUAGCACCGCGUUCCGUUUUGUGCUCAUGUAGGCUAUGUAGAGAUGUAGAUAAUAUCCACGUUGGUGAUCAAAGUUAAAGCAUGAUUCAAAAGAGAUGUUUCGUGUUGGUGAUCUUUCUCCUCGAUGUUUUAAGAGGUAAACACAUAAACCCUUAUAGUAAAAUUUUGUGCUCACAUGAUCAUUGGCUAAAGGGGUUUUCUGCUCAUGACAAUGAUUUUAAAAAGGGUUCUUAAAGUCUAUCUCAAGAUUCCACAACAGUUGUUUCGUCAAGAUAUAAAUGGAUGCUAUUACUAGAAGGGAUUGUGCAAAUGAUCUUUGGCUUCCAAUAUUCUUGAGGUAUUUGUGUUUCAUAUUACAAUUUCCAACAGUUCAAACACUUUGUAAAUCAUCAUGAUAAGCAAAGGAAAACUCAAAAAAAAUUCUCAAGGGGAACCACGUGCCAUGAACCAACCGAUUUCCAUAUUUUUUGAAAGCUUUUGAUGUCAAUUUCAUAAAAUGAUUGGUGUAUUUCCUUUAGACAUUGUAACUCUACGAUGAAGGUUAUUCUUGUAAAUUGCCAAAACUAGUUGAUAUUCAUCUUCUCGAAUUUUGAUAGCACUUUUUGAUGUAGAGUUUUGAUAAUUAACUCAACUUAAUGGUGCAUGAAUUUUGGAGAGCUUGGGGCAAAAAUUUAACUAUGGAUUGUAGAGUGUUGACCGACCCAACUAUGUUGGUCGGAGGAGUUUUUGUGACAAUUGUAAGACCCAUAAUUUUAAAGUACCCUUUAUGUAUUUUUGGUGUAUUUUGGAUUUUGACUCGGAGGCUUUUUAGCCAAAGUUAAUAAUUAUUUGGAGUUUUUAUAUUCAAAAAGAUAUUUUGUUGCCGAUUAGAACUUCUCAUCGAUAAAUAAAUUGAAUUAACUGCGGUGAAUCCUUUACGAAUAAUUUAAUGCGUUUCGGGUGAAACGGUAAUUUAACAAAUAUCUAGAUGUUUUGAGAUAUUUGUUAAGUUACAUUUAUUAUCUAUGUAUGUUUGUUUGGAGGGAAAAAGAAAGGAAACCUAGAAGGGAGGAAAAGGAAAAGAAAAUAGUAUAAAAGGAAGGAAGGAAAAAGGAAGAAAGGAAAAAGAAAGGAAAGAAAAAGAAAGGAAAGAAAAAGAAAGGAAAGAAAAUCGCCAAUUUCCAUCUCCUUCCUCUGAACCGUGAACCGAUUUCCCUCCUUCUCCCGUUUUCAUUUUCGUCGCUUUCUUUUCUUCAAAACUAGUAACCCAAGGUUGGGUGAGAGUUAGAACAAGGAUUUCGCAACUCCACUCUUCCUCUUUGAUCCGAAAACGAAGAAAAACGGUAUUUGAGAUUCAAACACAAACCCCUCCGUUUCUUCUAGAUCCGAGCUUCAUUUAGCGAAGAGUUAGAAGGGAAAGUUGCUCACCACCACGCCACGGUGCUAGGGGACCAAUUUGGAGGCGACGUUGCGAGCAAAGAUUUUACCGGCUUUACUCGCGGUACUGGAAAACUACGUUGAAGCUAGCGUUAAGGUAAGGGCUCCUUCCAAACUUUUAGUUGCAUUAGGGACUUAUUUGUGGUUGUGUGGGAAGGAAUUUGUCAGGGUUCGAUGUAUUGAUUUGGGGAAAAACGAAUCUAAUGCGUUAUGGGUAAAACCUUAGAGUUAGGUUUUGGUUAUAUGGAUGAAUGUUCUGUGUUAAAUGAACCUAAAAUCACUUGUGUAUGAUUAUGAGUAAAUGAAAUUGAUGUGUUUGAGUGUUAUGUUGUGUUGAUUGUGUUCGUCGUGUUUGACGUGUUCUAAGUUAAUACCGAUGAAUUUGAUGUGUUUUGGUGGGCGUUGUGAAUUGAAUUUGAUAAAAUGUUUUGAGACGGAUUUGUUGUGAAAAUGGAAAACCAUUAGAGUUAAACGAGUAUUGAAAAUGGGGAAUUUUUUAAUACCUCGGUUUACUUAAUGUGCGUCUGAGGAAAAUGUUUAAGUUAACUGGGUAUUAAGAAUGGGGAAUCUCUUAAUGUCUCGGUUACUUAAUGUUUGUUUUGAAAAUCACUUCAGUAAAUGAGUAUUAAGAAUGGGGAAUCUCUUAAUGUCUCGUUUACUGAAUGUUUUGUGUGGAAAUCGUUUAAGUCAAAAGUAUAUUAAGAAUGGGGAAUCUCUUGAUAUGUCUGUUUGCUUAACGUUUUGUUUUGAAAAUCAUUAAGAUAAAUCAGUAUUAAGAAUGGGGAAUCUCUUAAUGACUUAUUUAUUUAAUGUUGUUUUGAAAAUCGCUUAAGUUAAAUGGGUAUUAAAAAUGGGGAAUCUUUUAAUAUCUGCAUUUGCUUAACGAUUGUUGUGGAUGGAGUCUGUGUAUGCUCAUGCAUUUCAUUUUGGUAAAUUGUGUUGACCCGUGAUAGGUGACACCUUGGUAAACUGUACUGACCCGUGAUAUGUGGUACGUUUACGAUUUCCGUUUUUGGUAAAUUGUGCUGACCCGUGAUAGGUGGCACCUCUGUAAACAAUACUGGUCUGUGAUAGGCAGUACGUUUACGAUUCCCGCUUUUUCUUUUAGUAAAUCGUGUUGACCCGUGAUAGGUGACACCUCGGUAAACUGUACUGACCCGUGAUAGGUGGUACGUUUAUGAUUUACGCAUUUUAGUAAAUCGUGCUGACCCGUGAUAGGUGGCACCUAGGUAAACAAUACUGGUCUGUGAUAGGCGGUACGUUUACGAUUCCCGCUUUUUCUUUUAGUAAAUCGUGUUGACCCGUGAUAGGUGACACCAUGGUAACUGUACUGACCCGUGAUAGGUGGUACGUUUAUGAUUUACGCAUUUUAGUAAAUCGUGCUGACCCGUGAUAGGUGGCACCUAGGUAAACAAUACUGGUCUGUGAUAGGCGGUACGUUUACGAUUCCCGCUUUUUCUUUUAGUAAAUCAUGUUGACCCGUGAUAGGUGACACCAUGGUAACUGUACUGACCCGUGAUAGGUGGUACAUUUACGAUUUACAUUUUUGGUGAAUUGUGCUGACCCGUGAUAGGUGGCACCUAGGUAAACAGUACUGGUCUGUGAUAGGCGGUACGUUUACGAUUCCCGCUUUUUCUUUUAGUAAAUCGUGUUGACCCGUGAUAGGUGACACCAGAUUGCCAAAUCGAUUGAUUCAGCCCAGGAUUCUGUUUUCAUUAAAAAACCUUCACCCCAAUCGAUUUCCCAAUCGAUUGGCUCAGUGAAAAUCCUCAGUUUGAGUUAGAUGAUUGAUUACUCACUAACUUAUCCAUGUCUUGUUUUGUUAUGUGUUAAUUAGGAGAUGGAGAACUUCAUUUUACUUUCAUUUUAAUUGGCAAAGUAUUGUAUGUACUUUUCGCAUAUUGAAAAUCCUGUUAAGGUGCAUGCUUAGUUGAAAAGUCAUUUUGAGCAUUUAAAAACUUAAUUGCUAUGUGUUAACUGUUAUUUUUGGUUGGUGACCCUUUACAAUUAUUGUGGAAAUCUGGGCUUUGCCCUUAGAUGAGAGUCAGGACGGUCCUACCGGUUAGUACCCUACGGACGGGAAUGGAGAUGGGAACGCUUCACUGCUGUUACGUUAAGAGGAUCUCACGGGGCGCGUGGUGAUACUCAGGGUGUAUAGCUUUUUGGUAGGAUGAUUAGAUUAGGAUGAUGUAUAGGGACUAGGUGUCCUUCUUUUUGGAUUGGAGUAUUCUUAGUUUGGAAAACUGUACUUAUACUAAUAUUGUCAGUUUGACUUCUUAUUUGAAUGGGUCCCAAGUACCAUUUGUUGUUGUGUAAAUGUCUUGGAAUUUAUAAUUGGAGAAACUUUUCCACUGCUUGUAAAUUUUAAUGACUCAAUUAUUUAUCCAAAGGCAUUUUCUUGUUUAUUUCUCAGUAUCAGUUUAAUUUCUUUUGAAAAAAAAAAUAUACCCUCGCUUUGAAAAACGGGGUGUUACAACAAUCCUUGCAAGCAUAAGUCAUGAAGAACAUACCAUAUGCGUUAUUUAUGCAUGACAACAAUUGACGAGAGAACCAUAAUGUCAACCCCAACAGCAACCGACAACUCAACAACAAUGACAACAAGAAACCAAAUGGAAAACAAAUGGAACCAUCAAUUAGAUUAAAUAAACCAAAUGUGAAUUAGAAGCCAACAUCAAUAGAGUGUCCAAACACGAAUCAAAAGCCAAACUUGAAUCAUAAUCCAAACACAAAAACAAAAACUAAACGUGAACACAAAUGCGAAAAUAGUUUCAACGCAUGAUGCGAAUUACAAAUUAAAUCUUAGUUAGAUUGACAAUAAAAGAAAACAAAGGUAAUACUAUUUUUACUAAAUUAUCCUCUGAUCAAAUAAUUUGGGCACAUGUUUUUAACUUUUUACUGUGGCAUUUUAAAAGCGUUGUAUAGCUUAGAUUAAUUUUUUUAGCUUGUUUUUAAACUUUGGGUCGAAUUGAAUUUGAAUUUUAUUAUUUACAUAUUAACUCAUGUUAGCGAUGUAGACCAUAACUUGAGCUCUGUUGGAAUAAAAACUCAAUGCUGAACUUUGUUGGGUCUAAAUUGCAUAUUUCAUUUUCUGGGUUUUUAUUUAUUACUAGUUUUAAGUAGCGAGCUUUAACGCCCCGAUUUUUAACAGCGCGAGUGUAUUUUUUUUUCAAAACAAAUUCAUAAUAACUAGGGAUGGGAAUAGGCUAGGCCGUCCGACAGGGGCCUAUGGCCUGACCUACUUACGGCCUGGCCUGGCCUGGCCUGUUUAAUAAAAAGGUCAGGCUCAGGCUGUUUUUAAAGCCUAUUUAUGUAAAUAGGCCAGGCUCAGGCUUGGAAAAAAGCUUAUUAAGCCUGACAAGCCGGCCUAUAUAUAUUUUAUAUGUAUUUCAUUCUCUAUUUUUUCUUCUUCUAAUUUCCAUUGCACUCACUCCAACAAACAUGUAUGAAAACAACAUAUUUUUUUUAUAAAAACCGAUAUUAUUUAUUUGUUACUUUAUAUUUUAUAAAAACCAAUACUAUUUAUUUGUUAUCUUUAUAUAUAUUAUUAGUAUAUAAAUUUAGAAACUCUAAUUGUUUAUUAUUACUGAAUAUGAGUUUGUUUGAGAGGUAAUAUUCCGAGUUGUUUGAGAGGAUUUGUUUAGAGGUAAUAUUCUGAGCUGUUUGAGAGAUAAUAAUAGGUGUGUUUGUUUAAAUAAAAAAUUUAUUCUUUUAAAUCAAAAACUAUUUUGUAGGGUUUAAAAGGUAUUUGUUUCAUAUUUUUAAAAAAUUAUUUUGUUAGAAAAUAAUUUUUUUAUUUAAUAUAUAUAUACAUAUACUAUACAUAUACACAUUAGUAUUGGUAUAUGGAGAAUCAUAUAAAUCGAUAUGUGUAGAGUAUCAUGUAGCUAUAGAUAAUUGUUUAUUUAUUACCUUUAUAUAUAUAUAUAUAUAUAUAUAUAGCAUGAGAGGAUUUGUUUGAGAGGUAAUAAUCUGAGUUUAUUUGAGACCAUUUGUUUGAGAGAUAAUAAUGGGUGCGUUUGUUUUAAUAAAAAAUUUAUUCUUUUAAACCAAAAAUCAUUUUUUAGGGUUUAAAGGGUGUUUGUUUCAUAUUUUUUUUUUAAAUUAUUUUGUUAGAAAAAUUAUUUUUAAUGUAAAUAAGGCUUUUAAAUAGGCUUAUAGGCCAGGCCAUGAUAGGCCGUAGGCCAGGCCAGGCUUAGGCCUAAAAAAUUCUUCGUAGGCCAGGCUCAAGCCUUUCAAAGCCUGGCCUGGCCUGGCCUAUUCCCACCCCUAAUAAUAACAAAGAAAUAAAUAAGGAAAUACUUUUGGAUAAAUAUUUAAGUCGUAACACAACGACAAAUAAGUCAACAGAAUUCACAAGCAGCGAAAUAGUUUUUGAAAUAUGAGUCCAAAGUAUUUACACAACAGCCAGUGAUACAUGGAAUCCAUUAACAUAAGAUGUCGUGCUGACAAUANNNNNNNNNNNNNNNNNNNNNNNNNNNNNNNNNNNNNNNNNNNNNNNNNNNNNNNNNNNNNNNNNNNNNNNNNNNNNNNNNNNNNNNNNNNNNNNNNNNNNNNNNNNNNNNNNNNNNNNNNNNNNNNNNNNNNNNNNNNNNNNNNNNNNNNNNNNNNNNNNNNNNNNNNNNNNNNNNNNNNNNNNNNNNNNNNNNNNNNNNNNNNNNNNNNNNNNNNNNNNNNNNNNNNNNNNNNNNNNNNNNNNNNNNNNNNNNNNNNNNNNNNNNNNNNNNNNNNNNNNNNNNNNNNNNNNNNNNNNNNNNNNNNNNNNNNNNNNNNNNNNNNNNNNNNNNNNNNNNNNNNNNNNNNNNNNNNNNNNNNNNNNNNNNNNNNNNNNNNNNNNNNNNNNNNNNNNNNNNNNNNNNNNNNNNNNNNNNNNNNNNNNNNNNNNNNNNNNNNNNNNNNNNNNNNNNNNNNNNNNNNNNNNNNNNNNNNNNNNNNNNNNNNNNNNNNNNNNNNNNNNNNNNNNNNNNNNNNNNNNNNNNNNNNNNNNNNNNUGGGGCUAAAUCAAUCGAUUGGGAAAUCGAUUGAAUGAAUAACUGAGCCCCUGUGUUAAAGCCAAUCGAUUAGGAAAUCGAUUUCCUGAGAGUUUUUCGUGAAAACUGUACUCUGGGCUUAAUUCAAUCGAUUGGGAAAUCGAUUGAGUGAAUAACUGAGCCCUUGUAUUAAAGCCAAUCGAUUUCCAAAUCGAUUUUGUCAAAAUGGCUGAGCUCCUGUAAUGAAUCCAAUCGAUUGCCAAAUCGAUUUUGAGGAAUAGCUUUUAGUAGAAUCGAUUUGGGAAUCGAUUUCCCUGCAUGUUUUUCUUAAAACUACAUAAACUAACUCAAUCACAUUCACACACAACUCCAAAACAUAACACUUAGCAAUUUCCACACAAUCACCACGACAACUUGAGUUUCGAAACAAUUUUACAAUCAAUUUCACUUAUACACAAUUUGUUCCACAACAUAGACACUUAGUACAAUCAUCACAAUCACAAUUGUAAGACCCAUAAUUUUAAAGUAUACUUUAUGUACUUUAGUGUAUUUUGGUAUUGAACUCGGAGGCUUUUUAGCCAAAGUUAUUAAUAUUUUGGAGUUUAUAUGACCAAAGAGAUAUUUUGAUGCCGAUUAGAAUUACUCGUCGAUGAAUGAAUUAAAUUAGUUGCGGUGAAUUAUUUACGGAGAAUUUAAUGCCUUACGGGUGAAAUGGUAAUUUUAAUAAAUAUCUAGAUAUUUGGAGAUAUUUGUUAAAAGUAAUUAAUAUAAAUAUAUAUAUUAUAUAUAUAUAUAUAUAUAUAUAUAUAUAUAUAUAGUUGGAGGGAUAUAGGAGAAAAGGAAAUAGAAAAGAAAGGAAAGGAAAUAGAAAGGAAAGAAAGAGAGAGGAGAGAAAACAAUUUUCCAUCUUCUUCCAUCUGUCGCUCCACCCAUUCUUCCUCCUUCUUCCAUCUUCAUCUUCUUUGCUUCCUUUUUGUUCAAGAAUAGAAACCCAAGGCUAGUGGGUGAGAAAGAUCAAGUUUCCAACACCUUCCUCCUUCCCGGAUUCAAAAACGAUGUUAUGGAUUUCAAAACCGUCAAACACAAACCUCCCUGUUUAAUCUAGAUCUAAGCUUCGUUUCGCGAAGAGAUAGAAGGGAAAGUUGCUCACUACCACGCUACGGUGCUAGGGAACCAACUUUGGAAGCGGCGUUGCGAACGGAGAAUUUACCGGAUUUACUCGCGGUACCAUGUUCGCACGUUAAAGCUAACGUUAAGGUAAGGACUCCUUCCAAACUUCUAGUUUGCAUUUAGGGACUUAUCUGUAGUUGUGUGGAAAGGAAUUUGUUAGGGUUGAAUGUAUUGAUUUAAGGAAAAUGAAUCUAAGGUUCUGUGGGUAAAAUCUUAGAGUUAGGUUUUGACGAUAUUGAUGGAUAUUUCGUGGAAAAUGAAUUUAACUCAUAUGUGUAUGAUUAUGAGUAAAUGAAAUUUGAUGUGUUUGAGUGUUAUGUUAUGUUGAUUUGUGUUCGUCGUAUUUGACGUGUUCUACGUUAAUACCGAUGAAAUUUGAUGUGUUUUGGUGUGGAUUGUGAAUUGAAUUUGAUAAUAUCUUUGAGUUGGCUUUGUUGUGGAAUUUGAAAACCAUUAGAGUUAAACGAGUAUUAAAAAUGGGGAAUCUUUUAAUACCUCGGUUUACUUAAUGUGUGUUUGAGAAAAUCGUUUAAGUUAAACGAGUAUUAAGAAUGAGGAAUCUCUUAAUGUCUACGUUUACUUAAUGUUGGCGUGAAAACCAUUAGAGUUAAACGAGUAUUAAAAAUGGGGAAUCUUUUAAUAUCUCGGUUUACUUAAUGUGUGUUUGAGAAAAUCGUUUAAGUUAAACGAGUAUUAAGAAUGAGGAAUCUCUUAAUGUCCACGUUUACUUAAUGUUGGCGUGAAAACCAUUAGAGUUAAACGAGUAUUAAAAAUGGGGAAUCUUUUAAUAUCUCGGUUUACUUAAUGUGUGUUUGAGAAAAUCGUUUAAGUUAAACGAGUAUUAAGAAUGGGGAAUCUCUUAAUAUUUCUGUUUACUUAAAGUUUGUGUUGAAAAUCGUUUAAGUCAAAAGAGUAUUAAGAAUGGGGAAUCUCUUAAUAUUUCUGUUUACUUAAAGUUUGUGUUGAAAAUCGUUUAAGUCAAAAGAGUAUUAAGAAUGGGGAAUCUCUUAAUAUUUCUGUUUACUUAAAGUUUGUGUUGAAAAUCGUUUAAGUCAAAAGAGUAUUAAGAAUGGGGAAUCUCUUAAUGUCUACGUUUACUUACCGUGGUAAUCGUGUAGGAAUUGCUAAGUGUUAGGUUGUGAACUUGAUUAGGAAUGACUUGAGUUAAUGCAUGAAUUUUUGGAAAAACGAUCAGGGAAAUCGAUUUCCCAAUCGAUUGGAUGAGUUGCAGGAAGUUCACCAUUUUGACCUAAUCGAUUUGCCAAUCGAUUGUAUAAAUAUAUCUUUCAAAAUCUUUUAAGAAAUCGAUUUGGAAAUCGAUUGGCAGAGAGGCAGGAACUCAGCAAAACUGCCGAAAUCGAUUUGGAAAUCGAUUUGGCAACCCAGGGACUCAUCAGAACUGACAAAAUCGACUUAGAAAUCGAUUUGGUCAUGCAGAAACUCAGCAGAACUGACCAAAUCGAUUUGGCAAUCGAUUGGCUCAGCAAAAGUCCUUAUUUUGAGUUAGAUAAUCGAUUGCUCAAUUGAUUUAUCAAUGCUUUGGUCAGUUAUGUAUUACUUGAUGGUUUGAGAACUUCAUUUUGAUUUCAUUUUUAAUUGGCAAGCAUUACAUGAACUUUUAGCAUAUGAGAAAUCCUUUUAAGGUGCAUGCUUAGUUGAAAGAUUAUUUUGUGCAUUUAAAACUUAAAUGUUAUGUGUUAUUUGUUAAUUUCGGUUGGUGACCCUUUACAACUAUUGUGGAAAUCUGAGCGUGGAGAUCACUCAGGGUGUAUAGUUUUUGGUAGGAUGAUCAGAUUAGGUUGAUGUAUAGGGACUAGACGUCCUUCUUUUUGGGUUGGAGUAUUUUAAUUUGGAAAACUGUACUUAUACUAAUAUUGUCAGUUUGACAUCUUAUUUGAAUGGGUUCCAUGUACCAUUUGUUGUUGUGUAAAUGCUUUGGAUUUAUAUUUGGAGAAACUUUUCCGCUGCUUGUAAAUUAUAAUGACUCUAUUAUUUAUCCAAAGGCAUUUCCUUAUUUAUUUCUCUGUUUUAGUUUAAUUUCUUUUGAAAAAAAAAUACACCCUCGCAUUGAAAAUCUGGGUGUUACAACAAUGACAUCUCAAGUUCAAACACUCAAUCAUACACUUGAAUCAAACACGACUCGUGUGUCAAGCAUCCUAAUGCAAUGCGUAUAUGCCAAAAUGCAUGGACUCGGAAUUCCAAACCAAAACCCUCCUCGAAGGGCCGUAAAUCAUAAUUGUACCGCCUAUCGCAGGCCAAAGUACCAAUUACCGAGGUACCACCUAUCACGGGUCUGCACGAUUUACUAAAAAGCGUAAACCAUAAACGUACUGCCUAUCACGGGCACGUACCGUUUACCGAGGUGCCACUUAUCACGGGUCUGCACGAUUUACUAAAAAGAACGUAAAUUAUAAAUGCACCGCCUAUCACAGACCAAAGUGCUAUUUACCAAGGUGCCACCUAUCACGGGUCUGCACAAUUUACAAAAACGUAAAUCAUAAAUGUACCGCCUAUCACAGGCCAAAGUACUAUUUAUCAAGGUGCCACCUAUCACGGGUGUGCACGAUUUACAAAAAGAAUGAAAAUGCAUUGAGCAUAUACUGACUCCAUCCACAACAAUNNNNNNNNNNNNNNNNNNNNNNNNNNNNNNNNNNNNNNNNNNNNNNNNNNNNNNNNNNNNNNNNNNNNNNNNNNNNNNNNNNNNNNNNNNNNNNNNNNNNNNNNNNNNNNNNNNNNNNNNNNNNNNNNNNNNNNNNNNNNNNNNNNNNNNNNNNNNNNNNNNNNNNNNNNNNNNNNNNNNNNNNNNNNNNNNNNNNNNNNNNNNNNNNNNNNNNNNNNNNNNNNNNNNNNNNNNNNNNNNNNNNNNNNNNNNNNNNNNNNNNNNNNNNNNNNNNNNNNNNNNNNNNNNNNNNNNNNNNNNNNNNNNNNNNNNNNNNNNNNNNNNNNNNNNNNNNNNNNNNNNNNNNNNNNNNNNNNNNNNNNNNNNNNNNNNNNNNNNNNNNNNNNNNNNNNNNNNNNNNNNNNNNNNNNNNNNNNNNNNNNNNNNNNNNNNNNNNNNNNNNNNNNNNNNNNNNNNNNNNNNNNNNNNNNNNNNNNNNNNNNNNNNNNNNNNNNNNNNNNNNNNNNNNNNNNNNNNNNNNNNNNNNNNNNNNNNNNNNNNNNNNNNNNNNNNNNNNNNNNNNNNNNNNNNNNNNNNNNNNNNNNNNNNNNNNNNNNNNNNNNNNNNNNNNNNNNNNNNNNNNNNNNNNNNNNNNNNNNNNNNNNNNNNNNNNNNNNNNNNNNNNNNNNNNNNNNNNNNNNNNNNNNNNNNNNNNNNNNNNNNNNNNNNNNNNNNNNNNNNNNNNNNNNNNNNNNNNNNNNNNNNNNNNNNNNNNNNNNNNNNNNNNNNNNNNNNNNNNNNNNNNNNNNNNNNNNNNNNNNNNNNNNNACCUUAACAAAUUCUUUUCCACACAACCACAGAUAAGUCCCUAAAUGAAAACUAGAAGUUUGGAAGGAGCCCUUACCUUCACAUUAGCUUUAACGUGCAAUUACGGUACCGCGAGUAAAUCCGGUAAAAUCUCCGUUCGCAACGUCGCUCCAAAGUUUGUUCCCUAGCCCCGUAGCGUGGUAGUGAACAAAUUUCCCUUCUAUCUCUUUGUGAAACGAAGCUUAGAUCUAGAUGAAACGGUGAGGUUUGUGUUUGACGGUUUUGAAAUCCCUAACACCAUUUUUCUUCGUUUUCGAAACAACGAGGAAGUAUGAAGCUGAGAAAUCUUUGCUUUCUUACCCACUAAGCCUUGGGUUUCUAUUCUUGAACAAAAGGAAGAAGCAAAAAUGAAAAUGGAAGAAGGAGGAAGAAGGGGGUCACGCGAGGCAAAGGAAAAAGAUGGAUUUUGCUUUCUUGCUUUCUUUCCCUUUUCCUUUCUUUCUUUUUCCUUCCUUUCUAUUUCUUUUCUUUCUAUUUCCUUCUCUUUUCCCUCCACACAAACAUAUAUAUAUAUAUAUAUAUAUAUUAAUUACUUUUAACAAAUAUCUCCAAAUAUCUAGAUAUUUAUUAAAAUUACCAUUUCACCCAUAAGGCAUUAAAUUCUUCGUAAAGGAUUCACCGUACUUAAUUUAAUUUAUUUAUCGACGAGUAAUUUUAAUCGAGCAUCAAAUAUCUUUUUGGUCAUAUAAACUCAAAAAUAUUAAUAACUUUGGCUAAAAAGCCUCCGAGUUCAAUACCAAAAUACACUAAAAUACAUAAAGUAUACUUUAAAAUUAUGGGUCUUACACGGGCCAUUUGUUUUACAAGUCCAAAAACUGAGAACAAAGUAUAAGGUUAAGCAGUGGGCCAUUUGUUUCAUAAGACUAAUCAAUGAGUUCAAAGUUUUAUCAACACCUUGAGAUUCAGGUUACACUGUUAAUUUUGCUUCAUGAUUCUAUUUAUGUUUAUUUGAUUAUAUUGAUAUUCUAAUUGUGAUGCUUAAUCUAGUCAAAGAAAUCGAAUUCACAUAGGAUUGAUUACGCUUGUUUGAUCAAUUCUAUAGUCAAAUAAGAAAUAGAGUCACAAUUUAGAAAUUAAAUUCGUUGGUAGAAUCUAUAAUAAGUUUGAAACUCUCGAAAUAGUGGAUUAAUAAUUUUUUUAAUCUGUUCGAACAAAAAAUCUAAAAACCCCUUUUUUAAUUAUGACUUUCAAUUUGGCUAAUAUUAUCAUAUCAUUAGUCCAUACAAAAUACUUGAAUUAUUACAUUUAUCUACAUUUUAUCACUUGUAUUUGACCUGUGUGCGACACCAGAUUAUCCUCUUCAUGCAUUGAUGUGUUGACCAUUAUCAUAAAUACAAAGUAUAUAUAUUACUUGAGUGUGGGGCACAUACUAUUAAUAAGAGUAUGAUUCGGACUACAGUCAUUAAUAUCAUAUUUAAAAUUUAAAGUGAUAUUUAUUUUCAAUUAAUUUUGUUUUGCAAAAGUGAUGAUUAUAGUGUAACAAAGGAUAGUAUUAAAAUUUUGGCUGCCUUGGAUUUCAAAAAUCUACUUCUAUUUUCCAAGCGAUGCUGAUAUGCUUUAUUACCAUAUCAAUAUUACAAAAUCUACAUGUUUAAACAGAGAACAAGAAAGAACAAGAAAAUGCGGAAGUUAAAAUAUGAGUUACUAAUAAUUAGGGGUAGGAAUAGGCCAGGUCAAGUCAGACUUUGAAAUGCCUGAGUUUGGCCUACAAUAAAUUCUUUAGGCCUAAGUCUGACCUAUGACCUAUCAUGGACUUUUUUUUCGGUCUGCUCUAUCCUUUUUAAAAGUCUGACCUGACAUAAAAGCCAAUUUAAAAGCCUUAUUCACAUUAAAACAUUUAAAUAUUAUACUUUACAUUUUUUUAAAUAUGCUAAACUAGGACUUUAUAUACAAAAAAAACUAAUCAAAUUAUAAUCAAAUCUAAUAAAAUAAUACUUAAUCAAUGCAACAACUUUUGAAGAAAAAAAUGAUUCUAUAAUUAGUCCAUAUACACAUAUCAAGCAACAUGAUGCUCUAUCCUUACCAAUUUACAUGAUGCUCUACCCAUACCAAUUUACAUGAUGCUCUCCACAUACCAAUACUAAUGUACAUAUGUAUAGAUAUAUAUAUAUAUAUAUAUAUAUAUAUAUUCUGGAGAUUUAUUUUUUUUUUUUUAUAUAAAAAAAAAAAAGAAUAAAUAUUAAACAAAAAAUGAUUUUUGUAACAAAGUGAUUUUAAAAAAUUCUGAAACUAACACCAUUUAAACCCUAAAAUAUGAUUUUUGAUUACAAAGAAUAGAUUUUUUUUUCAUUAAACAAACGCACCCAUUAUUACCUCUCAAACAAAUUCUCUCAAAAAAACUCGGACAUAUUCAGUAAUAAUAUAAUUAAUUUUAUUAUCAACUCUAAAACACUUCUAAAGGGACUGCACCUAUUUUAUGCAUUUUUUUACUAUUUUUUACAAACUCACAUAUACUAGUUUGAUUUAUGAUUUAUUUUUAUUUAUAAAACCUAAAUCUAGAACAACUUCAAUGGAGUUUCUAGAAAAGUGUUAACAGAUUUUACAAAGGCUAACUUUAUUUAAGGAUACAAUGAUAAAAUUAAAAAAAAAAUUAAGAUUUUGAAGUAGUAAAUAUUGAAAUCUUUCAUAGUAUAAUAAUUAAAUAAUAAUAUGAACGAUUGAACUUGAAAAGAACGGGAGAAGAAAAGGACAGGGAUAAUAAUGAAUGGCUAUUGGAUGUGGAACGACCAUUGAGUGAUAGCCUAAUUGAUAUAUUGAUAUAGGCUUUAAAAUAGGAAUAAUAUUAUUAAUAAACAAUAAUAAAAAAAAGAACAUUAAUAAAUAAUAAAAUAUAUAUAGGUCGGCCUGUCAGGUAUGAAAGACUUUUUUAUACGUUUGAAUUUGCCCUAUUUAAAUAAAUAGGCUUUAAAAAUAGUUUGAACCUAACAUUUUUAUUAAACAGGCCAGACCAGACCAUAACUAGGCUGACCGCAAACCCCUAAAUGACGGUCUAACCUAUUCCCACCCCCUACUGACCAUUAAUAAUGUUUAUUUUUUCCUUUGCAAAAAUGCAAUAGAUAGGCCAAAGAUUUACUUUUAAGAAAAAAAACAUUAAUUAUUUUGUGAGAAUAUAAUAAAAAAUUAUAGGUUGGAUCAUCACAUAUUACAACAUUACAAAAUGCAUUUGCAUAGCUUUUGAAACUAUAGUUAUGCAUGUUUAUAAAUAAUUUGGUUGAAACAUUUAGCUCUUCAAUGUAUAAAAAGACAGAUGAAGUGACUUCUUUGCAGACAAUUAUAUGAAAAGAAAAAGAAAAAGAAAUAUUAAGUAAUUAGUGUGCUAUUAGUUCCCCGAUAUUUUUUUUAUUAUCUUUAAUUGUAAUAUGUAUUUUAACUUAUAUAAAUAAAUGCUAAAAAAAUCUAAAAAGAGUAUAUAAUAGUUAGAAGGCCGUAAAUUUUUAUAUAAGUCAAACCGCUUUAUACAAAGCCUAUUUAAUUUACUAUAGACACAUGGUGUAGCAAAAUAGAACAUAAAUUUAUACUUAAAUAUGAUUUAUUAAAGUAUUUGUGAUUACAAAUGACCUAAAAGAUCAAUAAGUAGCAACACAAUUUUAUUUAUUUGUAAAUUUGGAGUAAAAGAGCAUAAUUUUUUAAUCAUGAUUUCAUUCAUGACACAUUGGUAACUUGUUCCUCUUAUUAAAUAGAUAUUAAUAUGUUUUGUUGCAUGGAUAAUUUAGAAAUGGAUUUGACAUUUGGGGGAUUUUAAUGUCUGUUAAAAAAACGUGUUUUACGUCUUGGUGGAGGGGGAUGCCAUGGAAUAUGGGGAGUAUGCUUUGCAGGAGGGGGAGAGCGCCUGCGUAAGCGGUCGCGUAAACCUUGCCAAUUAAUGUCGAGUUGUCCUUUUAUGUCGUAAUUAGGUGGUUUAGGAAUUGGUGUCUUGGAGAUUUUUGGGCUUACAUCAGCAAGUCCUUGUGAAACAAGGAUAAGAGCCGCAAGGAACAACAUUAGUAAGGUUAAGAAAUUCGAAACCAUUUUCAUAAGUUGUUUUAAUG